GGAUAACAUUGUCCCCAUGCCAAAUCAGGCUGAUUCCACUGGUUGAACUACCAUGGCUUUUGGCUUCAUGUCCACUCCUGGAGCAAGAGUUUCACAUCUGAUGUCAGAUGUUCGUGGGGAGGUGUUACCCAGGGGCCUGGUCCCAGACAUAGUAUGUCUGAUCAUUCCUGGUAACAAUCUUGAAGCCAGCCCAUCCAUGGCUCCGGCAAUUACCAAGAACUGCUGGCCCUGGAGUAUGAAACCCAAGCAUGGGAUCUGGAUGUGACUUAUGGAAGGAAGACGUCCAGGGCCUUCCAAGGACACUUUGAGGAAAUACAGGUCAUCGGUACAACUAGAUCUCAUUGUGCUGGGGUUCAAAUUGUGCUGUCAAUGGUGGUGUCAUCAGCUACAACCAGAUCCCCAUCAAUGGUCAGCCUGACAUGGAAUUCUUAAAACAGUAUGAGAAAUAUCUGCAGGGCAUACACCCACUAGUGCUGAUAUCCUGACCCUAAUCUUACAUAAGGACAUCCAAGACAUUUGCUCUGUUACUGUCUUGCAGGAGGUACUGGACCACCG
ensembl:lncRNA